UCUCGAUAGCGUAAAAGUUAACUCAAAUUUGUAUGGAGUUGGAACGUUUGCCCCGGUUUGCUGCUAGGAGCGCUGUCCCAGCUGUAUACAAAUUUGAGUUAACUUUUACGCUAUCGA
rnacentral:pre_miRNA from 9 species